GUGGACUGAGCACUGAGCUGUCCCUGGAGACUUGGAAAGAAGAUGCAGAGAGAGACUGGGAAAGGUUAUACUACGUCCCCCCUCCCUUUUUCCUCCCUUUCCCCCUCCUACGGUCAACCCUUCUCCUUACCCCAGGGAUGUUCGCAGCAUCCUCCCCUUCCAGUUUGCCUUCUCCAGCUAGCAGCAGCCUCCACAAGCGCCUGCUCCUCUCUCUGCUCCCGGGAGCCCGGCCCCCUCUUCCUCUUCUGCAGCAGCUGGGAGGGAGCAACUGGAGGCUGCUGCCGGGCGGCGUCUUGGGGGCCGACAGCCGAGCUACAGAAGCCGCCAUCUGGAGCCUCCAGAGCGGACUGGCUGAAGAGUGGGGGAGAAAGAGAAAGGGCCUGCAGCUCUCCUGGCUCCUAGACUGGGAGAAACGCGAAGUGAAGGAGGUGGAGUGGGCUUCAGAGGGCUUCGGGAGGGGUUUGCCUAGAGUGGUGAGCUAGUUGGAAAGGGUCAGUGUGUGUGUGUGUGUGUGUGUCUGUGGGCGCGCACCCGCUUGUGUGCGAAUGUGCGCGUGUGUGUCCCUGGACCUAUGUGUGUGUGGUCUUUAAAGCGGGGUACCCAGUUAGAACACUGCGUAGGGAAGGAGAGGCCUUUCCUGACCUUUCGGCCUCCAGAGAAGAGAGAAUGGGGUCAGUACACCUAUUACCCUUCCUUUCCUUCCCCUCCCCCUAGGUGAGUGACGGGGAGGUGUGUGUAUAUGUGUGUGUGUGGGUGGGGCGGGGGUCAGACAGGCACAUAUACACAAAGUCAAUGUCUUCUUCAUGUUCUUCCUCUAUGACUGUACCCUGCUCCUCUCCCCACAACAAGGCAGCUUCCUCCAGGCCUUUCCAAGCCAGAAGAUGCUCUGCUCCCUCUGCGGAACAUGGUUACUGCCAGCCUUGGCCUUCAUAGAUUGGUCUUUUAUUAAGUCAGAUUCUGGAAAAGGAUAUUCCUCUGGAGGCAGUUCCGUGUCCAGCCGAAUUGCAUUAUGUAAAGAAUCUGGCAUGUCACCCGGUGGCACAUCUGGUAGGUGUAGAUGGCAUUCAUUAGCACUGGGUUUCUACUCUGCCGCAUGCCAAAGUCCUGACAGGGAUGCCCGCUGCCAAUCAUUCAUUCCCUGCCAGUCCAAAUGUGCGUCCGUGUGGGAUGGCUCCCUUCCACCCUGGCACCAGAACAAGAGGAAACAAUGUGUUUAGAUGCGAAGAGAUGAAAGCAGAGCUGAGUAUGAGAAGCACCCAACAG
rnacentral:lncRNA from 1 species